rnacentral:rRNA from 1 species
UACAGAGGGUGCAAGCGUUGUUCGGAAUUAUUGGGCGUAAAGGGCGCGUAGGCGGCCAACUAAGUCAUACGUGAAAUCCCUCGGCUUAACCGGGGAACUGCGUCUGAUACUGGAUGGCUUGAGUUCGGGAGAGGGAUGCGGAAUUCCAGGUGUAGCGGUGAAAUGCGUAGAUAUCUGGAGGAACACCGGUGGCGAAGGCGGCAUCCUGGACCGAUACUGACGCUGAUGAGCGAAAGCCAGGGGAGCAAACGGG